rnacentral:tRNA from 1 species
CCGCCCCGUGGUCAGGCGACGCCGGCCGCCGCCGGCUCCCGCCCGGGGGCGCCCGCGUUCGACUCGUCCGGGCCGGGC